rnacentral:lncRNA from 1 species
GAUCACCUUGAAAUCACCCCAAGAUCACCCUGAGAUCACCCUGAACUCGCCAUUCAGUCCGAGCGCAGCCCCCUUCCCUGCACCCACAGCACCCACAGCCCUCCCUCUGGCAUUCCCAGCUCCCACAGACAAGGACCCCGUCCCUUCUCCCGGCUGCCAGGCAGCAGCUGGAUCUGAGGAUUCACAGCAAUGUCCCAGCCACGUUCUGAGCAGGGGUUGGGGUUUGUGCUCACCCCAGAGCCCCUGCACUCUCUGGGGCUGUCCCUCCCGGCUGCCUUAUCUCCUCCCGUGUCCUGAUCCCGCAGGAUCCGGCCCAGGGGAGCUGGUUAAACAGCCCAAACCAACCACUGCCACCUUAAUUUCUACCCCAGCCUUUAAAAGCUCCUCCUGCCACCAGUGAGUGGCUCCACAGACACCGAGGUGACCCCGCUGGUGACCCUGGUGUCCCCCUGGCUGGGGAGGGAACCAGCAGGACCCAGGGAACCCCUCUGUGCCAGUGCAAUGAUAUUUUUGCUGCAAUUAUUUAUCCCCUGCCCCAUUCCAGGGCUCUUGGGAGGAGGUUCUUGCACGAUCCCAAUGCCGCCAAUUCGGCCACGGGCUCCGAGCUCUGCGAAACUCCGCGCCCCUGGCGCCACUGCAGCCUGGAAAGGUGACACACAGGAACCAGUCUGUGCCUUCUGCACCCGGCCCUGAGCACCCCAAACCACUGCCCCAGCAUUCCUGGCUGGGCCUGGCACUGCCCAGAUGGUCCUGGCACUGCCCAGCCAGGUCUGGCACUGCCUAGUUGCUCCUGGCACUGUCCAGCUGAGCCUAGUGCUACCCAGCUGGGUCUGGCACUGCCCAGCUGGCUCUGGCACUGCCCAGCCUUUCUUGGGACUGCCUGGCCAGUCCUGGUACUGCCCAUCCAUUCCUGGCACUGCCCAGCCAGGUCUGGUAGUGCCCAUCUAUUCCUACCACUCCUGGCACUGCCCAGCUAAGCCUAGUACUGCCCAGCCAUACCUGGUACUACCCAAACAGUCCUGGCACUGCCCAGCCGGGCCUGGCACUGCCCAGCCUUUCUUGGCACUCUGCCCAGC